ensembl:lncRNA
AAAUCAUUGACGUUCAGACGCAUUUAAAUGGUUGCUGGCAGUGACAAGCAUGUCACACAAUUAAUCGAGGACAAACGCUAUGUAGUUUUUUUGAUUGAUUUCGUAAUGAUAAUAGUUUAUAUAAUAGUUAAACCGAUAUAUUCAAGUGAUUAUUUCACGGAGGGGCGGCGCCCUAGCGCCCCCUAUUGACCCACCGCCACUGGUCGUGAGAGUUGCUGGUGUUGUAUUUCCUCGGACAAACGGAUGAACAAAAUGUUUGCAAUGAGUUUCGGCUUUGGAUAUGGAUAAACGGGGAUUGAAAGAAGACACGCUGUUGAUGGACGGAGGGGUCGAGGAGGACGAAACGGAAUAAUGAAGUCCUGCAGCAAAAUCAGUGGACGACAUGGAGCUAAGAGAAGGACGGAGCAGUGCUCAGCCUGUCCGCCCCUAGCGGCUCCGGUCUGCUAGCGGCGGUAGCUGGCAGCAGUCGGCGCGAGGUCCACCAAGACCUGCACCGUGUGGGCCAGCCGACCCAAGCCCUCGUCCUCGCUGAUCAACUGGGCGGCACAGAUGGAUUCCUGGGGGAGGAAAGGAAAAGGGUGGGGGACUGCAUAUCGGUAUCUUUUAAUUUGUCGCUUUUCAUUAGAGCAGUGCAACAUGCAGUCAUGGGGACACAAGACGUACGCUGCUAACGAAAUGGAAAGAUGUGCAAGGAAAGUGCGCAACUUACAUCGGAAAGCAAAAUAACAUUCUAAGUAAAGUAGAGGAAGCAUGGAUGAGCUUGCAACAAAAUGGUCACUUGAUGCUAAUGUAGUCUCAUGAGGGGCGAAAAAAACACCAUGAUUGUUUUCCCUCCAAAAGUUACAGCCCUAAUAUAUUACAAGUAAAAAUGGUAUUUUCCUAGAAAGCUAAAGUAUUUCAAAAUAGAGAUUGAGCUUCCUUCAUUGGUCUUACUUAGUCAAGUGUCCCACCAUGCUGUUUGUAGCCCUGGCUUGGUGUUUCCCAUUCUCAGCCCUCAGCUCCACCCACAAGGACCUGCCAGGACAGCAGGCAGGUACUGGGGCCAUCACAAGUUUAAAACCAUUACAAUUAGAAAAAUG